UUCUAAUCUUUCAUUAUCAGCAACAAGGUUAUUAAUUCUAUAUUCAAAAUCUCUUCUUUCAUAGUUUAGUCGAUUAACCUUGUAUUGCAGUCGCAUUGCUUCAGCAUGCAAUUCUCUGAAUGUUUCAAUUAAUUGCUGAUAUCUUUCUUCUAUAGGUAGCUUCUCAAAUUCUUCAUCACUGUUACUAUUAUUUCUUGAUGUUCCAGCCAUGUGACAAAUGUUGGAUUCCUCAUCUUCAUCAGCAUCUUCAUCACUUGAGCUUUCUGAAUCUAUGUUCUCCCAAGCAAUGUAUAUGUUAAGCCACUGGCAAGUGUACCAGAUUGUUAUCAAGUAAUAUCGUUCUUCUUAUUUACUUCAGUUAUUUAUGUAAUUGCCAUGCGUACUUUCUUAUUUACCCUUAACCCAAUACCUUCGUGAAAAAAGCCUAUUAUUAAUUACCGACUUGCUAUGCCUAGCCUCCCAUAGUAACCAAUAAUGCAAUGCGUUCGGAAGCAAAUACAAUUGACCGUCCUACCCCU
rnacentral:lncRNA from 1 species